AGGGUUCGAUUCCGGAGAGGGAGCCUGAGAAACGGCUACCACUUCUAAGGAAGGCAGCAGGCACGCAAAUUACCCACUGGUCGAAGACCGAGGUAGUGACGAAAAAUAACGAUACCAGACUCAUCCGAGGCCUGGUAAUCGGAAUGAGUACACUUUAAAGCCUUUAACGAGGAACAAUUGGAGGGCAAGUCUGGUGCCAGCAGCCGCGGUAAUUCCAGCUCCAAUAGCGUAUAUUAAUGUUGUUGCGGUUAAAAAGCUCGUAGUUGGAUCUCGGCGGGCAGGGGACGGUUCGUUAUUCGACGCUACUGUCCCAUUUGCCCGUGUUUUUGGGCGGAGGUUUCGGGGUGCUCAUAACCGAGUGUCCCGAGGCGCCGUCCGGUUUACUUUGAAAAAAUUAGAGUGCUCAGCGCAGGCUUUCCACGCUUGAAUAUUUGUGCAUGGAAUAAUGGAAUAGGACGUCGUUUCUAUUUUGUUGGUUUUGAGAAAUCGACGUAAUGAUCAAUAGGGACAGUCGGGGGCAUUAGUAUUCAGGCGACAGAGGUGAAAUUCUUGGACCGCCUGAAGACUCACUACUGCGAAAGCAUUUGCCAAA
rnacentral:rRNA from 1 species